rnacentral:rRNA from 1 species
AUGUCUUCCGCCGCCGGAGCCGGAGCCGGAGAGCACUCGUCUUCAUCCCGACCUGGGAAGCAGAGAGAGGAAGGUGCCGACGAUAGCAACCGCAAGGUGGACGAUGAGGGAGAUCUGAGCCUGGAACUCUAUGGCGCCGAGGCGGGGUGGGUGGAGGCGCGGACCAGCUGCCCACACCUCCCUGCAAUGCCCGCCGCCAGCGCCGACGAACUCGCGCGCGUGCCCGCGUCUGAUUCCCAGUGCUCUAGAUGUCAUCACCCUUCUGAAAACUGGUUAUGCUUGAUCUGCAAAGAUGUGCUGUGUAGUCGUUUUAUCAACAAACACAUGCUGUACCAUUAUCAAGAAAUGGGCCAUUGUAUUGCCCUGAGCUUCAGUGAUCUGUCAGUUUGGUGUUUUGCCUGUGACUCCUACCUAGACGCUCAAUCCAUUUUAGAACUGCGCCCAGUUUAUGAAGUUGCACAUCUGUUGAAAUUUGGAGAAAGGCCCCCUUUUCGAUCACUUGAAGUACUGGAUUUGAGCAGUGGACAAAAUGGAGGUUCAUCUUCAAGUUCCUAA